rnacentral:rRNA from 1 species
UACGAAGGGGGCUAGCGUUGCUCGGAAUCACUGGGCGUAAAGCGCACGUAGGCGGGUCGUUAAGUCAGGGGUGAAAUCCUGGAGCUCAACUCCAGAACUGCCCUUGAUACUGGCGAUCUCGAGUUCGGGAGAGGUGAGUGGAACUGCGAGUGUAGAGGUGAAAUUCGUAGAUAUUCGCAAGAACACCAGUGGCGAAGGCGGCUCACUGGCCCGAUACUGACGCUGAGGCGCGAAAGCGUGGGGAGCAAACAGGG